rnacentral:pre_miRNA from 7 species
GGGCCACGAUGACUGACAGGCUGCCCUGGCUCAGUUAUCACAGUGCUGAUGCUGUCUCUUGUAAAGGUACAGUACUGUGAUAACUGAAGGAUGGCAGCCAUCUGAGCUUCAGAGGCCCU